rnacentral:sRNA from 1 species
CUUAGAUUGAUGCUCUACUAGUCGGUUUGUUAUUAUGAAUGUGUUCUCCAAUAAUACUAAGCUUUCAGCAGUGUGACACUCCAGUCUGUCAGGUCAACUCAAACUAUCCAGUAAACAAAGGGAACAUCAGAAAGCAAGCAAUCGUCAGAAAACACAAAGGCAAGCAAACUUCUUGAAGUAAUAACAGAAGAGGAAUUAAACAUUUCAAGUCAAAAGAAAUUAUACACUUUCUUUUUCAAUCAACUCUGGAUAAAGCACAAGGCAGUUUUUUUUUAUUCAGGGAUAUUAAAAUAAAGACAAAUUUAAAAAAAAUCUUGUUCAGAAUACUGGAUCAAAAAACAAAGACCAUCCUUUACAUGCAGGAAUUUAAAAUAAAGAUACUGAAGACCUGUCUUUGUAAUCAAACGACAUUCUUUAUGUUCUAAAACAUUUUUUAAAAUAUUCUUCUGGGAUUCAUAGAAACAAACGAUUUUAGAAAGCAAUUUCUCGCUGUUUUUAUUUUCGUUUUGUGUUUAUCGUUUCACGCUGACGUGUACUGUUAUGUAAUUUCAGUAUCGGGACAGCUAUACCAUUAGAAUUGCUUGCUUAUUGAUCUGUAACGAAAUCAAAGCAUUGACCCCCUGUCUCUCGCUCAGGCAUUGGUAGAAGCUUAUACCAUCACAUGUAACUCAAAAAAAAAUUCGUUUGAAUAGCUAAUUGAACGAAUCACUAUCAGACAUAAGACAACUCUGUGAUAGUGUGUGUGUGUCGAAUUAGUGCAUGAUUCAGAGGUCACUAAAGCAAACCAACACUUAAGAUAUUCCUACUAAGAGUACAGAUGGAAGCUCUACUCUAAAAGUUCAAUCUACAAUCUUAUCCUCUGUGACCUUGUGACCUCUUAGCGGAUUAUAAUAAUCGUGAAAGCUCGUGCUCCUGGUGUCUGCUGAGACGUGAGUGUUCAGAGUGCCUUCGUCUUAAGUUACCCGUGAGCGGGUUUUUUCGGCAGUAAGUCUACGUCACCUCCCUGGAUCUUUUAAAAACUUCAGCAGCCUACCUUCCUCAAAGCCGUGAACCAUUUUCAACAGAUUCAAUUCAGAGUUAUUAAAAUAUUGAAAUCUGUGCGUGAAGCCAAACUUAAGAUUGGAUUCUUUAAUUCUUGGCGUGAAGUGAGAUCCAGGCAUUACAGAUUCUAUAUUUACGGAAGUCAAGCGUGUGGAUUAAAAAGUGUUUAGUGUUCUAUUUCAUAUGUGGAUAAAUCCAAAUUGUGAAUUAAGUAUUUCUCUGGAUAUUUGGUAAGGAAGAUCUGCCGCUGGACAGCUACAGCUAUGGAUUACGACCUGUCGCCCAAUCAGUGGUUAAAGGAGAGACAGAGGAGGAGAAUCAAGGAGGGGCUGAGUAGCUCGGACAUUGAAGCGGUAAGUACAGUUAUGUGUUGAUUGGUGUCGUCUGCUCUGACUUAUAAGCCUAAUUAUGACAGCACAUCGUAUUUACAUCACAUUGAAACACAACAAAAUCACACAAUCACUCUGCUCGAUACACACUUGUUAACAGUUGUGUUCAGCCUGGGGCUAUUUUAGGUGAGUUGCGAGAGUAUGUGCGCGCGUGUGUGUGUGUACAGGAUUCAGGUGUAUGGACACCAGGGGUAAGUUGUGACUAACAUGUCAUGUAAAAAUUGAAAGGAGCACACAUUCACCAAUUGAUGAAUCUUCACAUUAUUUCUUCUACCAUUAUGUUAAACUGUAGAAAAAACAUUUCAACUGUAAUUAGCAUUCAACCACACA